ACUCAAAUGAAUUGACGGGGACCCGCACAACCUGUGGAGCGUGUGGUUCAAUUCGAGACUAAACGAAAGACCUCACCAGGGCUUGACAUGCUACCGUACAUUCUUUCAGAAAUGAGAGGAAAUCCGCAAGGAUGGUAGCACAGGUGCUGCAUGGCUGUCGUCAGCUCGUGCCGUGAGGUGUUCCCUUAAGUGGGGAAACGAGCGCAACCCCCAUCUAAUGUUAAAUUAUUCAUUAGGAACGGUCCCAAUUUUGUUGGGAAGGAAGGAGGGGUAGACGUCAAGUCAGCACGGCCCUUAUGCCCUGGGCCACACACACACUACAAUGGCGAAUAACAACGAGCUGCAAGCUAGUAAUAGCAAGCUAAUCUCUAAAAUUUCGCCUCAGUUCAGAUCGAGGUCUGCAACUCGACCUCGUGAAGCCGGAAUAGGUAGUAAUCGCGGAUCAGCGUGCCGCGGUGAAUACGUUCUCGGGUCUUGUACACACCGCCCGU
rnacentral:rRNA from 1 species